AUGAGAGAAAACCUGUCUCCUAAGGAAUGCCAAUGAAAUUGAACUGCCAGUUCAAAAGCUGGUAUAAAAAAGCAAGACAAAAAGACCCUGUGGAACUUUAAUUAACUGCUUUACAUAAUAUAAACCAGUAAUUUCAGUUGGGACAACUUUAGAAAAAAUAAACUUCCUAAUUUUACUAGACUAACUAGUCCAAAACAACCAUGACCCAGUAGUACUGAUUAACGAAACAAGCUACCCCAGGGAUAACAGCGCCACCUUCUCAAAGAGUUCAUAUCAACAAGAAGAUCUACGACCUCGAUGUUGGAUCAGGGUACCCAGACGGUGCAGCAGCUGUCAAUGGUUCGUUUGUUCAACGAUUAAUACCCU
rnacentral:rRNA from 1 species